rnacentral:lncRNA from 1 species
AUGCAAACCCGCGGCCGCGGACGCCGCCUCCCCGAGCCGCGCUCAGACGCUAGUCGGGAGGGGCCGCGGGGUGCGGGGCCGGGGCCGGGCCGGGGCCGGGCCGGGGCCGGCGGGUCGGAGGCGGCGGCGGGGCUGAGCGGCUGUGCCCGGCCCGCGGCUCCGCGGGCAGCUCCUCCCCGGCGGCACGCCCACGUCCCGGCGGCGGCCCCCGCGGCCCAGCCCGGCGGGGAGGGGCCCGCAGGACCGCUCGGCCCGCCCGGAUCCCGGAUCCCGGAUCCCGCGCCGCCGGCCCCGGAGCCGCGGAGGGAGGCGAGCCGGCCGGGCCGAGGCGCAGGCCCAGCACAAAGGCCGGCGGGCGGGCGGGCGGGGCGCAGGGACCGGGACCGCCGCGGCAGGUGCGCGCCGAGCCCGAGGAGCCCGAGGAGCCCGCGGAGCCCGAGGAGCCCGAGGAGCCCGAGGAGCCCGAGGAGCCCGAGGCCGGCGGCGCAGGGGGCGCAGGGGUGCGCUCGGCCCCGCUCGGCCCCGCGCCGCCCUCCCCGCCCUCCCCGCGCGCGCCUCACCUGCCGCCCGACCCGCCGCGGGCGCUUCCUGCUCGCGACUUCCUGGGGCGGCGCGCGGAGGCCCCGCCGGCCCGGCCGCCCCUUUCACUGUGCGGCCCGCGGGGCGCCGGCCCGGCCCUCCCCUCCCCCUCCUCCCAGCCGCCCCGCCCCCCCCUCCCCCGGGCGCGCCCGGGUCCCCAAGGCGCCUCCCGCCGCCGCCGCCACCGCGCCCCGGGGCGACCCCGCUCCGCCCGCGUCCUUGCACCUGCCGGCGCCCUUGGCCCCAGGGUGGUCUCCCCAAGGCCCCCCCCCCCCCCCCCGGAGGCCGCGCUGCAGAGGGCUCCUGGGACUACGGGCCUCCAUGCCGCUGCCCCUCCUCAGGCUCCGAAGCAUGGAACUGGAGGAAGUGAAAGGGGCCCGCGGUCGCUGUGCUGAGCCUCUCAGUCACGCCUGUGCGCGCAGGACGCGCAGCUCAGACGCUUGGGCUGGAGGAGCCUGA